UAAUUUUAAAAAAAUCUUUGUUUUUCUACUGUGGACACACACACAGACACUCGUUUUCAGUCAUUCAUUGCUAUUUCCCUUCGUUUUGUAGGCUCGUCCAAAAGGAGAAGGCCUGACACCGUACCAGGGCAAGAAACGCUGCUUUGGUGAAUAUAAGUGCCCCAAAUGCAAGAGAAAAUGGAUGAGUGGAAACUCCUGGGCUAACAUGGGACAAGAAUGUAUCAAGUGCCACAUUAAUGUUUAUCCUCACAAACAGAGACCCCUGGAAAAGCCGGACGGCCUGGAUGUUUCAGACCAGAGCAAAGAACAUCCUCAGCAUCUGUGUGAGAAGUGCAAAGUUUUGGGCUACUACUGCCGCCGUGUGCAAUAAACCUUCCAAGUGGCCUCUUCCCAUCCCCGUCAAAAGAUUCUCUGGCAGCAUGCGAUCAACAGCAGCACAACAGAUCAAGAUAAAAGCUGAAAUAAUUGCCAAUAUUGCCUAUCUAAUAAUAUGCCUUACCAUUAAUAGAAUGUAACAUUUCUCCUGUGCAUGUGCAUGCAUGCAAUAGGUAUUUACAGGACGAUGAUUUGUAUACAUAUAUAUGUAAAUUUAUAUGUGUACACACAUGAAGUGUUACUGAGGUGUUCACACCAGAACUACAGUUACAGGUUCUGCUGAUUGUUUACACAGACCCUAUAUCACAGCCAGGUGAAAUGAAGUACUUUUCAUAAGGCAAGGGAUAAUAUUCACAAGGAAUAUUUGUUACAUGUUUGGCUUUUGCAGAGGUUCAGUAACUGUGGGGCCACUAAUUGCAAGCACUCACCCACAACACUGUUCUUAUUAUAUGACAAGACAAAGGAAGAUGAAACAAGCCACAGCAUAAAAGGAGAAUUACUGCUUUCCCAGUUUUAGAAAGUCUUAAGUUUUGUGCUGCUGAUUUCUUGGACUUAUAUUUGUUACCAUCUCUUGGGCAGGGCUUAGGCAAAAUAAUUUUUGUAGGACAUGGAAAAAAAAAGUGAAUAAUUGUUUGAGGGUGUGGGUUGGGUAGAAAGGGAAUGCCAUAAGAUUCCAAGAGGUUUUUGGAGGAGACAAAAUUGGCUUGCUUGUGCAACCAGAUCCUUCUCUUGUCAUAUAAUCCCACUGACAUGGCCCCUUCUAUGUGCAUGUCAUGUUCAUUAGGCCACAAGCACACUAAAUUUUCUAUGAAUAAGGGGAUAAGAAUACUUAAAACUGACCCUAAAACCCUUAACUGAAAGAUUAGCCAAACUUACUAUUUAUAGCCGUUUUAAAGCCACUUUCUGGAAAUAUUUUUAUGUCCUCUUUUCUACUAUUGAAAUUUGUUAUAAUAUGCAACUUGUUAGCCAUAGGGGUGUUUUGAGGCAUGGAGAACAUUCUGUGUAACCCUCUUUCUUUAUGUCUUCCUGAAGCACCUACAUACCUGGGGAGAAAUUUAGGAAUUCUGUUUCAUUUCCCAUUUCAGGUAGAACUUUGCACAGGGGUGGCCUGCUGCAAAGAACAUCUCAUCAGGGAUUGGCAAAUAUAGACUGAAAGUACCUCGAGACAGUAUUCUGUUUGUUUGUCUGUGUGAGAGUACAUUGGCAAAAGGACACAACAGGCAAUUUGUAGCGUUCACUAAAAACUUAGAGGGAUAAUGUUUGAGGUUGGGGGGGUUUACAUCAGCAGUUUAUAUUUUUAUGAAGUUUCCUUUAGGCAGAUUGAUUUCUGUGAAUGAUACUUAGAGAAAAUACUUUAAAUCCUAAAUAGCUUGAUGUGAACUAAAUUUAUUUUGAAGUUCCCUAAUGCAAAGACAGCAGGGGGUUUAUGCCAAGUGAUAGCAGGAUGUUACCAGUAUGUCAAGACAAGCUCUUACAAAGCAAGUAGAAAACUUACCAUGAGCAUUCACCUAGGGAAGAUGAUGCUCCUGACAAAUUUGCUCCUGGGUGAAACUGUUGCCAUUUCCCUGCUUUGCUAUAAGCAGGGCAAAAUUGUAUCUGCUUGUUCGGUGGGAGUGGCAUGUACACAUCUUGCAAUCUCCAUUAUUUUUGGGCAGCCCAGGUGACCCAGCCUGCUGGUCACAGCAGUGCAUGAGCAGCCUGACUCCUGGCUGCUGACCACAGCUCUUCCAUAGCUCCCUGAUUUUGGGCAAGUCACAUCAUCCUUCUAGACCUCAGUUUCCCCAACUGCAAAAUGGGGGUAAUAAUACUUUUGCAUACCUACCUCACAGGAGAGUUGUGAGGUUUACUUAAUAUCUCUUAAGUGUUUUGGCAUCACUGGAUGAAAAGUGCUAUGUAAUGCUAAAAUAGAAUUAACUGAAUUAAUCACUUGGAAACUACUUUUGCCCAGUUGGCAACUCCAACUAAAGUAGCUGAAAAUAAUAUUAUUGAAAGUAACACUAAUAAACAGUUCAGUUGCCUCA
ensembl:lncRNA